rnacentral:lncRNA from 1 species
GAGUCGGUGAUGACGGACUGCAAACUUUCAAGAUAUUUUCUCGGUAUAUAAACUAAUAAUUCAAUUCGUUUAACGGAAUAAAAAUUACUUGACACCAAACUCGAAGGAACGUUUUCUUACGGAAGUAUUAUUAAAACUUUUCGAUACUGCAAAAGUGUGAGGAAUUUUGUGUUUCGUCGAUUGUCUAAACAAUGACGUUGAAGAAUAGAUGGUGAAAAAUUUUUUGAGCUACAAAAAUAAAAAGAAAAGAAAGAUUCCUUUCGCAAUGUGGUAAUAAUUCGAUUGAAUACUUUAUUCGGUUUAUUCUUGCCACAUGCAAUUUCGACUGCAGAUGAAUAUCGUUCGUUCAUUGCAAAGUUAGUUUCCAAUCGACAAUCGGCAGGGUGACAAAAUAAAAAUGUUGAAAUCUGCCUCGGCAUAGUUUUCUUCGUUGAAUCGAAAAGCAUUAUUCCAAUUCUGUGUGAAAUUAAUUAUCUUAUGAACUGACUGAACGAGUUUAAUAAAAAUUAUAGUGCAUUUAAAUUUGAUUCAGUGAUUAAUUUUGUGUGUUGAGUGAAAUCAGAGUGAAAUCAAUCAGCGAUGAGAGAUGCAGAAUGUCAGCUGAUGGCAGAGUGAUCUUCAAGAUUACUACGACGGUAAAAUAGUGAAAGAAGAUGCCGCCCGGGAUGAAGGGAGGCGGAUAAUCGUGGAGGAUUAGAGACGUAGCAGCAGGGUCCGAUAUUACGUUUAUAUUUUAUUGGGGUGUAAUUUUCGUCGGGCGGCAAACAAAGUGGCGAUUAUUACAACGAAAGACAGAAGCAAACAGUGGGGGAUAAAGCAAACGCAAUCAUUUGACACAUUACCUCGUUGGGGAUUCGGCUUCGUCGCAGCGUUAGACCGCAGCCGAAACGCGGUAGACGAAACUCAUCAGAUGCUGAACCAUGCUACAUAAGACGAUUAAACUCUAAUGCCAAGAGAU